rnacentral:lncRNA from 1 species
UUACCCUCCCCAGACCCCACCUGGUGGGAGUAUACUGGGUAGUUGUUGUUGUUGUUGUUGUUGAAUGCUAAUUCAAUUGUCACUAUCUAGACGUGAUACAUUAACCGAACAGCCAAAUCGGUUCAAAACCUAAUUUAUUCCAAAGCUUUCCGACUCACUGACAGCCUACACCGCCGCACUACUGCCCCACCGCCACAAGACCCACAUCAAUCAUUCAGCUAGGUUCUAAUCACAAGUUAGUCAGGUUGGUUAAAUAAAUUCCUGUAUCCAUUAUUCAGAUUGCGCUAAACUAUUUUUACACUGAUUGUCAACAUAUUGCAACCCCUCUAGUUUAUCUGGUCUUAGACCAGAUGUUUUUUCCAAAGCUCACAUAGACUCAGUUGGGGGCGAAAGCAACAUAAAACUUUAAAAAUUAUAUACCAUAUUGAUCAAUA